ACAGAUACAAGAAGCAAUUGCAAAGAAGAGUUUUAUUUUACCUGUAUUUAUUCCACUUCCGAUGCUCUGCCUUUCUUUGUGUGGAUGCUAGUUUCUGGCUGUGUCAACUUCCUUCCGUCUGAAGAACUUGGAGAGGAAAUCUGUUGACAACGAGUGUCCUGGAUAUUUGUCCGUCUGAGAAAGGGUUUACUUUCGAGGGAUAUUUUUGGCAUAGAUUUAUCCUGUUUGGUGUUCUCUGAAGUUCUCGGAUCUGUGGUUUCAUAUCUGUCACUAGACACUUUCCCCUUAAGCUUCGGAGCAAGGCAGGAAUGUCUUUUCUUACCACUCUUCUUCAUCAUUGCACUCAGAGUCCUAGCUAGCUCAUCAAGGCAGGGGGAAAAUCAUACAGAUGGGAAAGAAAGAAUAAAAAUGUUCCUAUUUGCA